GGAUGUGAGAGUGAUUUGGCUGUGACAUCUGUCACCCCAUUGAUCGCCAGGGUUGAUUCAGCUCAUCUGUCUGGCUAGGCAGGUGUCCCCUUCCUCUCUCACUGCUCCAUGUACAUCCCUCCCGAAGCUGCGCGCUAGGUCGAGGAGCAUGGCCUUCCCUAAAUAGAGACAGACCGGUCUUUGGUCGAGUGUAUACGAGUAGCUGCUAGAACCUCCAAACAAGCUCUCAAGGAAUGAAAACAGUAUCUCCCAAAACAUAAACAACACCAGUAAAUAUUCUGACUGUAUCUUU
rnacentral:snRNA from 1 species